CCUACGGGAGGCAGCAGUGGGGAAUUUUGGACAAUGGGGGCAACCCUGAUCCAGCAAUGCCGCGUGAGUGAAGAAGGCCUUCGGGUUGUAAAGCUCUUUUGUCAGGGAAGAAACGGUUGGGGCUAAUACCCUCGACUAAUGACGGUACCUGAAGAAUAAGCACCGGCUAACUACGUGCCAGCAGCCGCGGUAAUACGUAGGGUGCAAGCGUUAAUCGGAAUUACUGGGCGUAAAGCGUGCGCAGGCGGUUUUGUAAGACUGUCGUGAAAUCCCCGGGCUUAACCUGGGAAUGGCGAUGGUGACUGCAAGGCUAGAGUUUGGCAGAGGGGGGUAGAAUUCCACGUGUAGCAGUGAAAUGCGUAGAGAUGUGGAGGAACACCGAUGGCGAAGGCAGCCCCCUGGGUCAAGACUGACGCUCAUGCACGAAAGCGUGGGGAGCAAACAGGAUUAGAUACCCUGGUAGUCCACGCCCUAAACGAUGUCUACUAGUUGUCGGGUCUUAAUUGACUUGGUAACGNNCUACGCGUGAGUAGACGCCGUGGAGGUACGGUCGCGAGAGUAAACUAACUAAUAGUUAGUUAGUAGNGUUGAGAGNGCGACGGACGACGACGAGGGAGGAGG
rnacentral:rRNA from 1 species